GGUUAAGUUAGAAAGGGCGCACGGUGGAUGCCUUGACACUAGGAGUCGAUGAAGGACGGGACUAACGCCGAUAUGCUUCGGGGAGCUGUAAGUAAGCUUUGAUCCGAAGAUUUCCGAAUGGGGAAACCCACCAUACGUAAUGGUAUGGUAUCCUUAUCUGAAUACAUAGGGUAAGGAAGACAGACCCAGGGAACUGAAACAUCUAAGUACCUGGAGGAAGAGAAAGCAAAUGCGAUUUCCUGAGUAGCGGCGAGCGAAACGGAACAUAGCCCAAACCAAGAGGCUUGCCUCUUGGGGUUGUAGGACAUUCUAUACGGAGUUACAAAGGAACGAGGUAGACGAAGCGACCUGGAAAGGUCCGUCGUAGAGGGUAACAACCCCGUAGUCGAAACUUCGUUCUCUCUUGAAUGUAUCCUGAGUACGGCGGAACACGUGAAAUUCCGUCGGAAUCUGGGAGGACCAUCUCCCAAGGCUAAAUACUCCCUAGUGAUCGAUAGUGAACCAGUACCGUGAGGGAAAGGUGAAAAGCACCCCGGAAGGGGAGUGAAAGAGAUCCUGAAACCGUGUGCCUACAAAUAGUCAGAGCCCGUUAACGGGUGAUGGCGUGCCUUUUGUAGAAUGAACCGGCGAGUUACGAUCCCGUGCGAGGUUAAGCUGAAGAGGCGGAGCCGCAGCGAAAGCGAGUCUGAAUAGGGCGUUUAGUACGUGGUCGUAGACCCGAAACCAGGUGAUCUACCCAUGUCCAGGGUGAAGUUCAGGUAACACUGAAUGGAGGCCCGAACCCACGCACGUUGAAAAGUGCGGGGAUGAGGUGUGGGUAGCGGAGAAAUUCCAAUCGAACCUGGAGAUAGCUGGUUCUCCCCGAAAUAGCUUUAGGGCUAGCCUUAAGUGUAAGAGUCUUGGAGGUAGAGCACUGAUUGGACUAGGGGUCCUCAUCGGAUUACCGAAUUCAGUCAAACUCCGAAUGCCAAUGACUUAUCCUUAGGAGUCAGACUGCGAGUGAUAAGAUCCGUAGUCAAAAGGGAAACAGCCCAGACCGCCAGCUAAGGUCCCAAAGUGUGUAUUAAGUGGAAAAGGAUGUGGAGUUGCUUAGACAACUAGGAUGUUGGCUUAGAAGCAGCCACCAUUUAAAGAGUGCGUAAUAGCUCACUAGUCGAGUGACUCUGCGCCGAAAAUGUACCGGGGCUAAAUACACCACCGAAGCUGCGGAUUGAUACCAAUGGUAUCAGUGGUAGGGGAGCGUUCUAAGGACAGUGAAGUCAGACCGGAAGGACUGGUGGAGUGCUUAGAAGUGAGAAUGCCGGUAUGAGUAGCGAAAGACGGGUGAGAAUCCCGUCCACCGAAUGCCUAAGGUUUCCUGAGGAAGGCUCGUCCGCUCAGGGUUAGUCAGGACCUAAGCCGAGGCCGACAGGCGUAGGCGAUGGACAACAGGUUGAUAUUCCUGUACCACCUCUUUAUCGUUUGAGCAAUGGAGGGACGCAGAAGGAUAGAAGAAGCGUGCGAUUGGUUGUGCACGUCCAAGCAGUUAGGCUGAUAAGUAGGCAAAUCCGCUUAUCGUGAAGGCUGAGCUGUGAUGGGGAAGCUCCUUAUGGAGCGAAGUCUUUGAUUCCCCGCUGCCAAGAAAAGCUUCUAGCGAGAUAAAAGGUGCCUGUACCGCAAACCGACACAGGUAGGCGAGGAGAGAAUCCUAAGGUGUGCGAGAGAACUCUGGUUAAGGAACUCGGCAAAAUGACCCCGUAACUUCGGGAGAAGGGGUGCUUUCUUAACGGAAAGCCGCAGUGAAUAGGCCCAAGCGACUGUUUAGCAAAAACACAGCUCUCUGCGAAGCCGUAAGGCGAAGUAUAGGGGGUGACACCUGCCCGGUGCUGGAAGGUUAAGGAGAGGGGUUAGCGUAAGCGAAGCUCUGAACUGAAGCCCCAGUAAACGGCGGCCGUAACUAUAACGGUCCUAAGGUAGCGAAAUUCCUUGUCGGGUAAGUUCCGACCCGCACGAAAGGUGUAACGAUUUGGGCACUGUCUCAACCAGAGACUCGGUGAAAUUAUAGUACCUGUGAAGAUGCAGGUUACCCGCGACAGGACGGAAAGACCCCGUGGAGCUUUACUGUAGCCUGAUAUUGAAUUUUGGUACAGUUUGUACAGGAUAGGCGGGAGCCUUUGAAACCGGAGCGCUAGCUUCGGUGGAGGCGCUGGUGGGAUACCGCCCUGACUGUAUUGAAAUUCUAACCUACGGGUCUUAUCGACCCGGGAGACAGUGUCAGAUGGGCAGUUUGACUGGGGCGGUCGCCUCCUAAAGUGUAACGGAGGCGCCCAAAGGUUCCCUCAGAAUGGUUGGAAAUCAUUCGUAGAGUGCAAAGGCAUAAGGGAGCUUGACUGCGAGACCUACAAGUCGAGCAGGGACGAAAGUCGGGCUUAGUGAUCCGGUGGUUCCGCAUGGAAGGGCCAUCGCUCAACGGAUAAAAGCUACCCCGGGGAUAACAGGCUUAUCUCCCCCAAGAGUCCACAUCGACGGGGAGGUUUGGCACCUCGAUGUCGGCUCAUCGCAUCCUGGGGCUGUAGUCGGUCCCAAGGGUUGGGCUGUUCGCCCAUUAAAGCGGUACGCGAGCUGGGUUCAGAACGUCGUGAGACAGUUCGGUCCCUAUCCGUCGUGGGCGUAGGAAAUUUGAGAGGAGCUGUCCUUAGUACGAGAGGACCGGGAUGGACGCACCGCUGGUGUACCAGUUGUUCUGCCAAGGGCAUAGCUGGGUAGCUAUGUGCGGAAGGGAUAAGUGCUGAAAGCAUCUAAGCAUGAAGCCCCCCUCAAGAUGAGAUUUCCCAUAGCGUAAGCUAGUAAGAUCCCUGAAAGAUGAUCAGGUUGAUAGGUUCGAGGUGGAAGCAUGGUGACAUGUGGAGCUGACGAAUACUAAUAGAUCGAGGACUUAACCAU
rnacentral:rRNA from 1 species